rnacentral:rRNA from 1 species
GACGAACGCUGGCGGCGUGCUUAACACAUGCAAGUCGAACGGAAAGGCCCUGCUUUUGUGGGGUGCUCGAGUGGCGAACGGGUGAGUAACACGUGAGUAACCUGCCCUUGACUUUGGGAUAACUUCAGGAAACUGGGGCUAAUACCGGAUAGGAGCUCCUGCUGCAUGGUGGGGGUUGGAAAGUUUCGGCGGGUGGGGUUGGACUCGCGGCUUAUCAGCUUGUUGGUGGGGUAGUGGCUUACCAAGGCUUUGACGGGUAGCCGGCCUGAGAGGGUGACCGGCCACAUUGGCACAGGGAUACGGCCCAGACGCCUACGGGAGGCAGCAGUGGGGACUAUUGCACAAUGGGCGGAAGCCUGAUGCAGCAACGCCGCGUGGGGGAGGACGGCCUUCGGGUAGGAAACCGCUUUCGCCUGUGACGAGGCGUGAGUGACGGUAAUGGGGAAAGAAGCACCGGCUAACUACGU